CCUCAGUCCAACAAAGAGAAAAGGGCAGCAAUGGCCAGAACAAAUUGUGGAGAGCAGAGAGGGGAGAGAGAGCACUUCUCAAAAGUGAAUGGAAGAAAGACGUGUGAAAUAGAAAAUCACAUGCGUCCAUUGCAACUGUCUGUCUUCUCAGGAAACAGUGUAGAGUGGAAGAAGAAGAAGAAGCGCGCUAAAUUUGAAAAAUAAAACAGGUCAUAAUUAACGGAAUAAAUCAUAGCAGGUUGCUCCUGGGUCACAUGCAUUACUGGAGGAAUGAAACACCGCUGCCAAAUGGACAAAGCAGCAAUUCUGCUACUUCUCUUAGAGCACUGUCUGCAGGUUGUAGAUUGUCUAAAGUGCCAGAAAACAUCAAGCCAUGCAACACUUUUUGUUGAAUGGAAUGAUUUCCCCGAAGGAGAAAAAACAGAAUGUUAUUUAAUAACAUAUCAACUUAGCAACCAAACGCAUUUGCUGAAUGCUUCCACUGUAUCUGGAUGUAUUCCGGAUUCCAGAGCGAAUUAGAGGAAAAUGAAGGGUACCUCGUUAUCUUAAAGGCAACAAGAAACAAAAACAUACUGGGCACAAAAUCCUUCAAUAUACGCACAUUGUCAAGAAACAGUGUAAGAACAGCAACGACAAGCACCACUGCCUUUCUAAACUGGAGCGUGCCAGACUUUGAACCAACAGUUUCAGUUAAGCUUAAUAACAUUACAUGGCUUGUACCCCAACAUGAAAAUGCAUAUACAUUGACUGAUUUAAAACCUGGUACCCUUUACAAUGUUUAUUUGGAUUUUCAAAAAUAAAUCCAUGAAAACGUAAUCAAUGCCACUCAGAAACUACACUUCCUUCUUGAAACAGCUUCAUGUCCACAGGGAUGGGUCCCUUUUAAGAGUAGCUGCUAUAAGACUGGGAAAGGUAUUGAGCAAUGGAGUGCUGCACAGAAA